UGGGGAAUAUUGCGCAAUGGGCGAAAGCCUGACGCAGCAACACCGCGUGAGGGAUGACGGCCUUCGGGUUGUAAACCUCUUUCAGCUCCGACGAAGCGAAACUGACGGUACCUGCAGAAGAAGAUGCGGCCAACUACGUGCCAGCAGCCGCGGUGACACGUAGGCAUCAAGCGUUAUCCGGAUUUAUUGGGCGUAAAGAGCUCGUAGGCGGUUCGGUAAGUCGGGUGUGAAAACUCUGGGCUCAACCCAGAGAGGCCACUCGAUACUGCUGUGACUAGAGUGCGGUAGGGGAGCGGGGAAUUCCUGGUGUAGCGGUGAAAUGCGCAGAUAUCAGGAGGAACACCGGUGGCGAAGGCGGGUCUCUGGGCCGGAACUGACGCUGAGGAGCGAAAGCGUGGGGAGCGAACAGGAUUAGAUACCCUGGUAGUCCACGCCGUAAACGGUGGGCGCUAGGUGUGGGGAUCGUUUCCACGAUCUCCGUGCCGUAGCUAACGCAUUAAGCGCCCC
rnacentral:rRNA from 1 species